AUUGAACGCUGGCGGCAUGCUUUACACAUGCAAGUCGAACGGUAACGGGGAGCUUGCUCCGCUGACGAGUGGCGAACGGGUGAGUAAUGCGUCGGAACGUGCCGAGUAGUGGGGGAUAACGCAGCGAAAGUUGUGCUAAUACCGCAUACGUACUGAGGUAGAAAGUGGGGGACCUUCGGGCCUCACGCUAUUCGAGCGGCCGACGUCUGAUUAGCUAUUAGGUGAGGUAAAGGCGCACCUAGGCGACGAUCAGUAGCGGGUCUGAGAGGGUGGUCCGCCACACUGGGAUUGAGAAACGGGCCAGAUGCCUACGGGAGGCAGAAGUGGGGAAUUUUGGACAAUGGUCGCAGGCCUGAUCCAGACAUGCCGCGUGUCUGAAGAAGGCCUUCGGGUUGUAAAGGACUUUUGUCGGGGAGGAAAUCCCCAGCGCUAAUACCGCUGGGGGAUGACAGUACCUGAAGAAUAAGCACCGGCUAACUACGUGCCAGCCGCCGCCGUAAAAC
rnacentral:rRNA from 1 species